rnacentral:rRNA from 1 species
AAAUUAAAGGGCCGCGGUAUUUUGACCGUGCAAAGGUAGCAUAAUCAUUAGUCUUUUAAUUGAGGGCUGGAAUGAAUGGUUUGACGAAAUAUUAACUGUCUCUUUAUAAUAAGUAGAAUUUAACUUCUGAGUCAAAAGGCUUAGAUGAAUAUAAAAGACGAGAAGACCCUAUAGAUCUUUAUACAUGAGUAUAUCUAUUUUGUUUAGGUGAAAUUUUAAUAGAUAUAUUAUUGUAUUAUGUUGGGGUGACAUGAAGAUAAAAUCAACUCUUUAUAAUCAAUACAUUGAUUUAUGGGUAAUUGAUCCGUUAUUAACGAUUAUAAGAUAAAGUUACCUUAGGGAUAACAGCGUAAUUUUUUUUGAGAGUUCUUAUCGACAAAAAAGAUUGCGACCUCGA